AACAUCGCGCACCUGCGGGAACCUGCGGAAGGAUCAUUACAGAGUUGCAAAACUCCCUAAACCAUUGUGAACCUACCUUCUACCGUUGCUUCGGCGGGCGGGCCUAGCGCCCCCCCGGCCCCCCGCGGGCGCCCGCCGGAGGAUAACCAAACUCUUGACAUCAGUGGCCUCUCUGAGUAUUCUUUACUGAAUAAGUCAAAACUUUCAACAACGGAUCU
rnacentral:misc_RNA from 1 species